rnacentral:rRNA from 1 species
AACGAACGCUGGCGGCAUGCCUAACACAUGCAAGUCGAACGAAGGCUUCGGCCUUAGUGGCGCACGGGUGCGUAACGCGUGGGAAUCUGCCCUUGGGUGCGGAAUAACAGUUAGAAAUGACUGCUAAUACCGCAUAAUGACUCCGGUCCAAAGAUUUAUCGCCCAGGGAUGAGCCCGCGUCGGAUUAGCUAGUUGGUGAGGUAAAAGCUCACCAAGGCGACGAUCCGUAGCUGGUCUGAGAGGAUGAUCAGCCACACUGGGACUGAGACACGGCCCAGACUCCUACGGGAGGCAGCAGUGGGGAAUAUUGGACAAUGGGCGAAAGCCUGAUCCAGCAAUGCCGCGUGAGUGAUGAAGGCCUUAGGGUUGUAAAGCUCUUUUACCCGGGAUGAUAAUGACAGUACCGGGAGAAUAAGCCCCGGCUAACUCCGUGCCAGCCGCCGCAGUAAGAC